rnacentral:lncRNA from 1 species
GAGCACUCGAACGAAAAUUUUAGCAGAGUUUCUAGGUAGAAAAUGAGAGCUUAGAGAAUAACGUAUCUGGGGUCCCCCUUUUAUAGGUGGAGGGGGCAACGGAUUGAUGGCGACAUUUGUAACCGCCUGUCAGUGCACCGUUCGGGGCCAGGAGGGGUCUGUUACGAGGAGUAGUGGAGGGGGACCGUGGCCAUUACUAUGGCCUACCACGUGGAGCCUGU